AAAAAUACAAAUAUAGGAACUCAUAUAGAAACGUAUAUGAACGAUGACCAUUUGAAAGUGCAAUAAGAAAAACGAAUGUCAGAACUGUUAAGUAGGCCUACCCUUCCAAAAGUAUCACGGUGCCCAGAUGUUAAGCAUCAAACGCAGCUCUGAUCUGUGUGGGCGGGAACAUCUUGGCACCACCGCUGCCGCAGAGGUGAUUCAUGUGAGGAUUUUUAUUUCUGGCUGGAGAUGUAGAAGGUCCGCACUGCUUGGGACGUACGUGUAUACUUUUUGCGGAAAACAAAGUGAAGGAGUUUAAACUUUGUUGACUUGUUGAAUCCUAAUCUGUAUAGGAGGAAAGCGUCUCACUGCCGUGAGCAUCACUUCAGAAUAUGAAGGAUAUUAUUUCUGUAUACUUGAGAGCCACUAAGAACUGGAAGACUGCAGGAGCUGUAUGAUGCAGACCCAUAUCAUGGUGGAUGGCCAGCAGUGCCAAAACAUUUUCACACAGCCUACCAGCACAACUGCACUAAAUAACCCUAGUUACCAUGGUGAUUAUAAUGGAGCAUGGGAUAACAGGAGUCCUGCAUUUGUCUACCAGACUCCACCUGUGCCACCCACUAACCACCCACAGCACAGGGGACAGCAAGUCUUUCAAAGCAGACAUGUGACCAAUGGGAAUCACGGGCACAUUGUCUCACCAAAUAUGUGUCCCUUCCCAGUGAGCUCUUCCUUUGGUCCUAUUCAAGGGAACACCAAUCAAACUGUUGGGUCUGUGCACCAGCAGCCAUUAAGAAACCACUUUUUCACAAAUGGACAUGUCACUUAUGCUUCCUCACCAGCAAAUUUUCCAAAGACCCUGUAUACAGCACAGCAAACUCCCAUGAGACCAGAUGUCUAUGUUGCCAGAGAAAACCAGCAGAACACACAAGUCUUUGUGCAAGCCCACAAUUACAACAUUUCCCAAGAGUCUAUGCGCUCCUCAAGGCCUGGUAAUGUGCCUCAGCUGCCUGCCUCACUAUCACAUGGGAAUCGUGCCAUAAACCAGGGUCAUUUACAAAGGGAGUUGAUUCUGAGGCAGAGUACAGGGGGGCAGGUCUCUAUCCCUGCAGUGCAGGAUGCAGGAGCAUACCACUCUCUGCAGGAUGCAGGGGAGUACUCCUCUGCACAGUUCUACCCCUGUAGGGAGAGUGUGAAUGGAGAUCGAGGAGCAUGGAACAAUUGGCAUGAAGCUAUGAGAACUGGAAGGAGGGAGAGCUUGAAUUUACAGUCUGCUGUGAAGGUUGCGAUGGUAGAGCAGAAGGGCGGCACAUGGCAAGGCGUGAGAGACCUCAGGCAGGAGAUGGGCAGUGUGAGGGGUGUCACUAAGAACUGCGGGAUGGAAGUGAAACUGAACCCCAAGUUUGAAGUACAGUGUCCUACUGGGGUACAGGGUCAUGUUCAUGGAACAGAAUGUAGGGGUCAGGGGCUGGCCACCAGCAGCCCAAAUUCUGCUGUGCCAGCACAGAAUACUUCCCUACAUCCACAACCUGUGGAUCAUACGGUAAGCUGGGCUAAACCAUUUUUACAUAGAAAAGUAGAUGGAUUGCUCCGCUCCUUGCUUAAGAAUACUGAGGUGAUUCCAAAUACAGGAAUGCCUCAGGUUCAAGCACAAUGUGGCGAGACAGCAAUUGCCCCCCACAGCUCCCUGAGCUGGUCCAGUUCUCCAGGAAGCAGGUCUGACAAGAGAUUCAUGAACCAGCUUCACAUGGCAACAGCACAGCAGUCUUACCAGAGUGUUCCUAGUCAAAGUGGAGCUGUAAACCCGCCUCAGUAUCAUGCCUUCCCAGACCAGCAGGGGGAGCUCCUCUCAACCGGCCUACAGCCUCCACCAACAGCACAGGGUCCUGUGGGGAGAAACACAAAGGGAGCAGCUAAUCAAACGUAUCGCCGAGGCCUUACUAUGCCUCCACCGUAUGUUUCACCUGGGACUAAGAGUGGAGGUACAGGUGAGGCGGUGAAGCAUAUUAAGGCAAUAAAAAUGGCUAACCAUGCCCCAAACCAGCCCAGUGCAUCUGGCUGCGAAUUUCCUGAUGCUGGCUCUUACCAUGAGCCGAGCAUUGCCACUUCGGCUUUUCCCAGCCAAGCUGUGCAGUCGGGGAAGCUACCGUGCCGUAGUCAGACCGCAGGCAACUCAAUGACUGGUUCAGAAAGACAAGUGGUCUCUUUCGCUACAAAGCCAGGGAAUGCAUUUACAGCAGGAAAUGAGUCAUGUGUGAGCAACCAGCCUGCUAGCCAAGCAGACGCUCAACGUAGAGAUAACCAGUUGUCUUCUGCAGGUGACAGUGUGAAAGCAGACCACAGAAAAGAUUAUGGAGAGACCUGUGGAGCCAAGAGCCCAAAGACUGACAGUGCUCCUCUUUCAGAUGCUGGCUCCCCAUCUCCAGAACAUGUUUUUAAGUCGCCAAAAGUAAGCAGUCAGCAGAGCAAGUCAUCUGGCUCUUCCUCAUCCCAGAAGGCUGUGGCAGUGGUUACCCCCCUAUCACCGCAGUCCUGGGACCCUGCAGAUGAGACGAGCAGCACCUGCCAAACAGAGAGUGACUUGCCGUGUAAGAUCCUGAGUGUGAUAUCACUGAGUGCAGAGUCUACAGCAGGCCUGUUCGACUUCAAGAUGACCGACACAGCUUUCGAUUCCUUGCUAAUCAGCAUGGGAACAGGUGAAAAAGAUCCACAGAACAUCCAUUCAAGAGUGUCCACUACUGUAAGCCUUGGUUCAGCAUCUACAGAGCUGGCUGUACCACACCAGAAAAUGACACCACAGAUGUCUGGUUCAACCUGCCAAGUGAUUCCACCAACAGCUGAUGAUUCUGCUACUCAGAAGAUUGAUCCUCAACCUUCAAACCAACAAAAAUCUGACCUGACACUACCCACUAAUCCAGCUCCUCCAACUUUCUGUGAAGUCACACCCCCUUCAGGAAUGCACUUCAAUAUGCCAGGUGCCCAAACAAGUGUGGCAGUUCAUGAAAACCGUGACCUGGAUGGAGAGUUGGAAAAUACUAUCUUUGAUUUGUCGUCUGUGUCUAUAAUUGAAUGGACAACCGCAAAGGUGGCUAAAUUAAUCACUUUUUUCCAUCAGAUUGAAGGCACUCCGAAACAGGAGAUGGAUGUCAAGAAGACUGCAGAGCUUUUUGGGUUGCAGGGUUAUGAUGAUCUCCCAGAUGUCUUCAGUUCAAACCUUUACCAGUCAAUAAUGGCAGAGGCCCGCAGUGUGUGCAAAGAAGGUGAAAACCUUGUGUUUUCCCAGAUUAAUCCCACAAGCCUUGAAGCUGUGGCAGAGAACUGCCAAAUUCUCAAACACUGCCCUGUUCUUCCCAGCGAGGAAGAGGAUGAAGUUGUGAAAUCAAACCAAGCUUUGAAAGGAAAAAUGGUCAGGCCUGAAACUGUGACAUGCAGAAGUAACAGGAACACACCCCUGCCAUUGCCUCAGUCACAGGCCGACUGUGCUCUAGUUGAUGGCACUGUGGAUGCCCUCUCCUCAAUCAAAAUCAGAGUGCUUCCACCUGAAGAAGCCAGGCGGAUUUACUGUGGUGAGGAGAGUGAGAUUGUGAAGCUGGACAACCCACAAAGCACGCUGCCUGCCCUGGAGGGCCAGGGAGAUGAAAUGAGCCAAAUGGGGGUCCAAGCUUAUCAGUGUCAGCCAGAGGAGCAGCAGAAAGAGGUGAAACAGGUAGAUGUUUCCUGUUGCUCAUUCUGCUGGAUCAAGAUGACCACCAGCUACAAAAAAGGCUUCUGCGCAUGCCAGUUUAAGUCCAAGAUAGGGCAAGGUGGAGAGGGGGAAUCAAAAAUAGACAUCACCAGCAACCAAAUGGAGAAAAGUGAGAGACUGGAAGUGAUGGAGAGUUCUGUGGGAGGUGACAGCUGCCCUGCUGGAGAGCACAACACCAUUUCAGUCCAUGAACCUGAAACUACAAAGGAAUAUCUGCCAGAGGAAGACCUGCCAGAAGAAGACCUGCCAGAAAAUCAGCAUAUUGGAAUCAAGGCACUUUCUGUGUCUGAAUGCUCCCAGUCCAGGCCAGCAGAUAAUUCCACCCAGGAAGAGGGGAACAACACAGAGGGGGAAGCCAUAGUGUCAUCUGGUGAACCAGAGGAGGGAAGGGAUGCACCAGACCCCUCUGAGUGCUCCAGUUCAGAGAUCCUCUUUGAUCCUGACAUCACUGUUCAAGAGGUCAUCAUCCCUGUCUUGAAUGUAACUGAAGUUGAAAAUGAGAAUGUCUACAGUGACUAUGAAGAGACACUGAAGAUGGCUGCGGCAGUGUCUGAAAAGCUGUGGAAAGGAGGCGUUGCUAAAGGUGAGCUUCCAAUUCUACUCAAGGUAAAUGUGGAUGAAGUUCCCACCUCUGGGUUAGAAGCUGAAGAUGGUGCAGCUUCUGGAAACAUGAGGUUGAGUUCCCAGGGUGAGGUGCCCAAUCAGCUGCCAGAGCCAAUGGAUAUUCGUGAUCUGGAAAGACGGAUAGGAGGACAAACUUCUCUUUCCUUGAGGCAGAGGCUACACAAGCGCCUACCCUCAAUAGAGAAGCACAGUCAUAAGGGUGAAAAUGUCAGAAGGGGGGAAAAAGGGUGCAAAAGGAGGAGUCUGGAAAAGUCCCCAUGUUCCACAUCACCUGUGCGAGAACCAUCACCCCAGAGUGUGAAGAUCAGUGAGAGGGAAGAGGCCGUGAUUAAAGGAAUUGAGCACAGUCAUCACAACAGGGAAAACCCCCUGUUAGUCAAACGUAAAGGAGAUCACUGCUUUGCAUCUCCAAAAUUAAAGCUUCCUAAACUGCACAAAGACGUACACGUAUGCCAAGAAAGCAACUUUGAAAAAAGACCAUUUGUAAGCAAAGGAAUUUCAUCAAAAGAGUCACCUAAGCAGAAAGCAGAUGGCAGGGGUAUGUAUUUGACAUUGUAUGGAUCCUCAUCUAAAACUGGAAAUAGGGUUGUAAGUUCCAGUGGAGAAUCAGUUUUCAAGUCCCAAGGAGGCAAAAGUCUACCUGCACCUUUAACCCUCGGCUUGAGUAUUCAUUCCAAGGACAGUAAUCAUUCAGUAGCAAGAAUUAAAAGCCCAGCAAAACAACAGGUCUUUUCAAUCUGGGAACGCAGUUUUGUGCCAUUAAACCAUCAUAAAAGAUCUAAGACUGAGACAACUAAGCAGGGUAAAAUAAAGGGAUACAGUAACCUAGGAGUCGGAACAAAGGCAGCUAAUCCAACUGUAUGUGGAGGUGAUCCAAAGUCAUCGAGGAUCCAAUGCAGACCUCAAUCCGUUUCCCAAAGCACAGCUGCCACAGUCAAACGCAGGGAAUGUAACAAACACAUGGGUAAGAGGGAGGAAAAGAGGAACUCAACAAUAAACACUGGUAAAAGCCACCCGGGAAAGGAUCGGGAGAGCAGCUUUGUACCUAAAGCAAGUAACAAACACCGGGGAAAGAGUCAGGAGAAGAGUUCUGUACCUGAAACAGGUAACAAACUCUUGGGAAAGAGUCACAAAAAGAAGAGCACUCUACCUAAAAUGGGAAACAAACACCUGGAUAAGACUCAAGAAAAGAAGAGCUCAUCAGGGAAAUUUGCAGAAAAUAAGUUUUCUUCACCUUACUCUGUACGUCAGUCCCAGGACUCCCCCUCAGUCAGGAAGACCAGCAGAGAAACAAGGCAGCAGGAUUUGGAGAAGGCCCCAUUGUUUUUCCAGGAAACACAAGCCACCCUUGACAAAAACAACAGGCAAAAGACUAAAAAGAAGUUUAAAGAAGUAGAGCCAGUGCAUCUUCCGGUGAGCCCACUGUCAACCCUGACAACCAAAACCAAAACCAAAACAAAUACCAAGAAUACAGUGGAGACUGGGGGGCCGGAUUGUAUUGCAGUGAAAGAGAAAGUCCGUGUUCUAUUGCGUAGGUCCUUUCAUCUCAAGGAUGGUCCAGUUCAUGUGAAAUCCAAGAAUUCCUGAAGACAAGACUUCCUGUGCUAAGUGUCCAGUGGGGAAAGACACUUCCUGUUCAAAAGGAAAGUCACAUGGCAUGGUCGCACCAUCCCAUCAUGUGUAUCCUUCCAGGACUACAAGACGAGGCACAUGCCAAAGCACAACACCUAGCUUUCCCAGAAUGCACUGCUUGGAAUCUGUUUUCAAGGCACAAAAGGAAGUGUGAUGACUCACACUUGCACACUCACCCGAGUUUCCGGUGAAGAUUGCUUGUUUCCAGUGGAAACUGUUUGAAGACGUGAGAACUUCUCACUUCACGGCUAUCCAUCCGAAGAAUGUCUCUUUGAUUUGAGAGCCAAAGUGUGAAGUGAAGUGUGUUCUCUGUGAUUGUAAUCAUUGACUUGUAAUUUUGAUGUCAACAACUCCUUACCAGCAUCCUGUUGGUUUUGCUCUUUAGAUUCACACUGUAAGAGUAUAUUUUGUCAUUUUUACGGUUUUAUAUUUUGUUUUUAUAUUUUCUGAAAGCUCAGGGUGUCUGUAUUUGUCCACAUCUGCUGUUGAAUUGGUCUGGCAUCUUACCAACAUUGUGAUACACAUAAGGGGGCCCCAGAAGUCUCCACAGCUGUCCUGGACCAGGCUUGGGGAACCCAACAGUCCUUGCGGUUCUCCUGGACCAGGCUUGGGGAACCCAACAGACCUUGCGAUUCUGCUGGACCAGGCUUGGGGAACCCAACAGACCUUGCGAUUCUGCUGGACCAGGCUUGGGGAACCCAACAGACCUUGCGGUUCUCCAGGACCAGGCUUGUCCACUUCUGGAUAUUAUAAUUACACUGAGGAGCCUUUAGUUAUGAGCACACACUGAUGCAUAACUAAGCCAGAGAAGCUGUGCAUGGGGGUCCGGGUUGGGGGUGGGGGGGGGGGAUUGUGUAAAUAUUAACAGUUAAAUGCAUCGAUCUGGUGCAAUUUGAGAGGGAAAUUAAGAGGCUAAAUCCAUGAAGAAUUUUGUGCUUUUGUAAAAAUUUUGUAUCAACACCGUAAGACGUUUUUACGACAUUGUAAGACGUUUGAGCCUACACUUACGCCAUAAAAUAAAUAAAAUAAAAGCUAUCACGUUA